GACGAACGCUGGCGGCGUGCCUAAUACAUGCAAGUAGAACGCACAGUUAUACCGUAGCUUGCUACACCAUAAACUGUGAGUUGCGAACGGGUGAGUAACGCGUAGGUAACCUGCCUGGUAGCGGGGGAUAACUAUUGGAAACGAUAGCUAAUACCGCAUAAUAUUGAUUAUUGCAUGAUAAUUGAUUGAAAGAUGCUAUUGCAUCACUACCAGAUGGACCUGCGUUGUAUUAGCUAGUAGGUGAGGUAACGGCUCACCUAGGCGACGAUACAUAGCCGACCUGAGAGGGUGAUCGGCCACACUGGGACUGAGACACGGCCCAGACUCCUACGGGAGGCAGCAGUAGGGAAUCUUCGGCAAUGGACGAAAGUCUGACCGAGCAACGCCGCGUGAGUGAAGAAGGUUUUCGGAUCGUAAAGCUCUGUUGUAAGAGAAGAACGGGUGUGAGAGUGGAAAGUUCACACUGUGACGGUAUCUUACCAGAAAGGGACGGCUAACUACGUG
rnacentral:rRNA from 1 species